rnacentral:rRNA from 1 species
GGUUAAGCGACUAAGCGUACACGGUGGAUGCCCUGGCAGUCAGAGGCGAUGAAGGACGUGCUAAUCUGCGAAAAGCGUCGGUAAGGUGAUAUGAACCGUUAUAACCGGCGAUGUCCGAAUGGGGAAACCCAGUGCAAUUCGUUGCACUAUCGUUAACUGAAUACAUAGGUUAACGAGGCGAACCGGGGGAACUGAAACAUCUAAGUACCCCGAGGAAAAGAAAUCAACCGAGAUUCCCCCAGUAGCGGCGAGCGAACGGGGAGCAGCCCAGAGUCUGAAUCAGCUUGUGUGUUAGUGGAACGGUCUGGAAAGUCCGACGGUACAGGGUGAUAGUCCCGUACACCAAAAUGCACAGGUUGUGAACUCGAAGAGUAGGGCGGGACACGUGGUAUCCUGUCUGAAUAUGGGGGACCAUCCUCCAAGGCUAAAUACUCCUGACUGACCGAUAGUGAACCAGUACCGUGAGGGAAAGGCGAAAAGAACCCCGGCGAGGGGAGUGAAAAAGAACCUGAAACCGUGUACGUACAAGCAGUGGGAGCACCUUCGGGUGUGACUGCGUACCUUUUGUAUAAUGGGUCAGCGACUUAUAUUCUGUAGCAAGGUUAACCGUAUAGGGGAGCCGCAGGGAAACCGAGUCUUAACUGGGCGUUAAGUUGCAGGGUAUAGACCCGAAACCCGGUGAUCUAGCCAUGGGCAGGUUGAAGGUUGGGUAACACUAACUGGAGGACCGAACCGACUAAUGUUGAAAAAUUAGCGGAUGACUUGUGGCUGGGGGUGAAAGGCCAAUCAAACCGGGAGAUAGCUGGUUCUCCCCGAAAGCUAUUUAGGUAGCGCCUCGUGAACUCAUCUUCGGGGGUAGAGCACUGUUUCGGCUAGGGGGUCAUCCCGACUUACCAACCCGAUGCAAACUACGAAUACCGAAGAAUGUUAUCACGGGAGACACACGGCGGGUGCUAACGUCCGUCGUGAAGAGGGAAACAACCCAGACCGCCAGCUAAGGUCCCAAAGUCAUGGUUAAGUGGGAAACGAUGUGGGAAGGCACAGACAGCCAGGAUGUUGGCUUAGAAGCAGCCAUCAUUUAAAGAAAGCGUAAUAGCUCACUGGUCGAGUCGGCCUGCGCGGAAGAUGUAACGGGGCUAAACCAUGCACCGAAGCUGCGGCAGCGACACUAUGUGUUGUUGGGUAGGGGAGCGUUCUGUAAGCCUGCGAAGGUGACCUGUGAGGGUUGCUGGAGGUAUCAGAAGUGCGAAUGCUGACAUAAGUAACGAUAAAGCGGGUGAAAAGCCCGCUCGCCGGAAGACCAAGGGUUCCUGUCCAACGUUAAUCGGGGCAGGGUGAGUCGACCCCUAAGGCGAGGCCGAAAGGCGUAGUCGAUGGGAAACAGGUUAAUAUUCCUGUACUUGGUGUUACUGCGAAGGGGGGACGGAGAAGGCUAUGUUAGCCGGGCGACGGUUGUCCCGGUUUAAGCAUGUAGGCUGGUUGUCCAGGCAAAUCCGGAUAAUCAAGGCUGAGGUGUGAUGACGAGGCACUACGGUGCUGAAGUAACAAAUGCCCUGCUUCCAGGAAAAGCCUCUAAGCAUCAGGUAACAUCAAAUCGUACCCCAAACCGACACAGGUGGUCAGGUAGAGAAUACCAAGGCGCUUGAGAGAACUCGGGUGAAGGAACUAGGCAAAAUGGUGCCGUAACUUCGGGAGAAGGCACGCUGGUGUGUAGGUGAAGUCCCUGCGGAUGGAGCUGAGACCAGUCGAAGAUACCAGCUGGCUGCAACUGUUUAUUAAAAACACAGCACUGUGCAAACACGAAAGUGGACGUAUACGGUGUGACGCCUGCCCGGUGCCGGAAGGUUAAUUGAUGGGGUUAUCCGUAAGGAGAAGCUCUUGAUCGAAGCCCCGGUAAACGGCGGCCGUAACUAUAACGGUCCUAAGGUAGCGAAAUUCCUUGUCGGGUAAGUUCCGACCUGCACGAAUGGCGUAAUGAUGGCCAGGCUGUCUCCACCCGAGACUCAGUGAAAUUGAACUCGCUGUGAAGAUGCAGUGUACCCGCGGCAAGACGGAAAGACCCCGUGAACCUUUACUAUAGCUUGACACUGAACAUUGAGCCUUGAUGUGUAGGAUAGGUGGGAGGCUUUGAAGCGUGGACGCCAGUCUGCGUGGAGCCAACCUUGAAAUACCACCCUUUAAUGUUUGAUGUUCUAACGUUGGCCCCUGACCGGGGUUGCGGACAGUGUCUGGUGGGUAGUUUGACUGGGGCGGUCUCCUCCCAAAGCGUAACGGAGGAGCACGAAGGUUAGCUAAUCCUGGUCGGACAUCAGGAGGUUAGUGCAAUGGCAUAAGCUAGCUUGACUGCGAGCGUGACGGCGCGAGCAGGUGCGAAAGCAGGUCAUAGUGAUCCGGUGGUUCUGAAUGGAAGGGCCAUCGCUCAACGGAUAAAAGGUACUCCGGGGAUAACAGGCUGAUACCGCCCAAGAGUUCAUAUCGACGGCGGUGUUUGGCACCUCGAUGUCGGCUCAUCACAUCCUGGGGCUGAAGUAGGUCCCAAGGGUAUGGCUGUUCGCCAUUUAAAGUGGUACGCGAGCUGGGUUUAGAACGUCGUGAGACAGUUCGGUCCCUAUCUGCCGUGGGCGCUGGAGAAUUGAGGGGGCUGCUCCUAGUACGAGAGGACCGGAGUGGACGCAUCACUGGUGUUCGGGUUGUCAUGCCAAUGGCACUGCCCGGUAGCUAAAUGCGGAAGAGAUAAGUGCUGAAAGCAUCUAAGCACGAAACUUGCCCCGAGAUGAGUUCUCCCUGAGACUUUAAGUCUCCUGAAGGAACGUUAAAGACGAUGACGUUGAUAGGCCGGGUGUGUAAGCGCAGCGAUGCGUUGAGCUAACCGGUACUAAUGAACCGUGAGGCUUAACCUU